GACGAACGCUGGCGGCGUGCUUAACACAUGCAAGUCGAACGGUGAAGCGCUUGCCUUUUUGGUGGGUGUGGAUGAGUGGCGAACGGGUGAGUAACACGUGAGUAACCCGCCCUCUUCUUCUGGAUAACCUCAUGAAAGUGGGGCUAAUACGGGGUAUUCCGGGUCUGUCGCAUGGCGGGUUUGGGAAAGAUUGCGCCUUUGGGUGUUUUCGGUGGGGGAUGGGCUCGCGGCCUAUCAGCUUGUUGGUGGGGUGAUGGCCUACCAAGGCGGUGACGGGUAGCCGGCCUGAGAGGGUGGACGGCCACACUGGGACUGAGACACGGCCCAGACUCCUGCGGGAGGCAGCAGUGGGGAAUAUUGCGCAAUGGGCGCAAGCCUGAUGCAGCGACGCCGCGUGAGGGAUGGAGGCCUUCGGGUUGUGAACCUCUUUCGCCAGUGAAGCAGGCCUGCUCCUGUGUGGGUGGGUUGACGGUAGCUGGAUAAGAAGCGCCGGCUAACUACGUG
rnacentral:rRNA from 1 species